AUCAAAGGACAAGUAUGAGGUUGUGCUUAAGGCUAAGCCAUUUGCUUAUGCUUCAAAGAAACAUUUUAAAGAAUGUGACAAGCCCAAGCCUUCACCAACUCCAUACUACUACAAAUCACCUCCACCUCCCUCACCUGUUUACAAGUACAACUCUCCACCUCCACCAGUCCAUUAUUAUUCACCACCAUAUUACUACAAAUCACCUCCUCCUCCAGUAAAAUCGCCACCAACACCUUACUACUACAAAUCACCUCCACCUCCCUCACCAGUUUACAAGUACAACUCACCACCUCCACCGGUCCAUUAUUACUCUCCUCCAUAUUCCUAUAAGUCGCCUCCACCUCCCUCACCAGUUUACAAAUACAACUCCCCACCUCCACCAGUCCACCAUUAUGAUCCUCCAUAUUACUACAAGUCACCUCCACCUCCCUCACCAGUUUACAAGUACAACUCCCCACCUCCACCAGUCCAUUAUUAUUCACCUCCAUAUUACUACAAAUCCCCACCUCCUCCUGUGAAAUCCCCACCACCCCCUUACUACUAUAAAUCACCUCCACCUCCCUCACCAGUUUACAAAUACAACUCACCACCUCCACCGGUUUACAAGUACAACUCACCACCUCCACCAGUCCACCAUUAUGAUCCUCCAUAUAACUACAAGUCACCUCCACCUCCUUCACCUGUUUACAAGUACAACUCCCCACCUCCACCAGUCCAUUAUUAUUCACCUCCAUAUUACUACAAAUCACNNN
rnacentral:lncRNA from 1 species